GUGUUGCAAGAAGGAAAUGGCUUUUUACCCUUAACAAUUUGGGUAGAUAAGGAUCACUUGCCAGAGAACCUGCCUUUCUGAAUAGUGAUGUAAAGUCAGCAGGGCUGGUGACAAGGGCUUGCCUUUCCUAGGCAGGAUUCAUCCCAGGAGAGAGUGGUGCACAGUAGUCAACAGCUCUGGCAGUGCUGCAGCUGAAUAAGCAUGAGCCUGGGGUGCUUCCUAACCUCCUGGAGCCAGCCUCAAACAUACAACAAAGUCCAUUCAGGAGCUAAUAUCAAAGGAGCAAGGUUUUUUCAGCUAUGGUAGAUGCACACCUUAUACCCACAUCCUAUAGAUGAUGGCACAUUGAAUAAGAUGAAUGCCUAACUGGUCAGAUCCUUUCCUGAUGAACGGUGGUGUAUCUGGGAUUUGUCAACUUCCAGAAAGAUUUUGUCAAACGACACAACUGAUGAAGACUUCAAACUCACCAAACAGUACUGCCCCAAGGAACAGAAGACAAGGGCGCGUUUGCAGGCGGUGUCGCUGCUGAGCGGAAGUGGUGGGCCCUGUCCCAGCUUGUUCCAUUCCCAGAAGGAUUCACGUUGUCCAACCCCGGUCCCGUGAGACCGCCUUCCCUGCAGACACACAGUCAUGCGUUGUGGGAUGCGGCUUUCAGGAGUGACUGUGGCUGCUGGGGACUGAGUGGGUGCAUGGAGCAGCCCAGCACCUCAGCAGAGGGAAAUCUCCUGGGAUUUGGCACAUCGAGGUGGGAAAAUGCAGAGCCAACAGACUCACUCCUAGAGAAAAGCCAUCCUAGCUCAUCUGUCAGGAUUGCCCCUCUGGAAAAGAAGAUCAGAGCAAAUGGGGAAUGAGGAGAAUAAAAGCUGUCCCAAACCUUUGACCUCAACUUAACGUAAAGCCAAAUGAAACCCUAGAGAUCUUCUCCAAAGUUCUCUCCAGUGUCACACCCAGAGGGUGCAUUAAAGCCCUCAGCACUGGUGACAGCAGCAACUCACUGGGCCAGUUUCUGUCCCAUGAAGGAGAUUAAUACCAAUGGGACUGUUUCCCCUAAACAAGGAGAAUCUGCAUGAUGAGAAGAGCGAAAGAAGUUGUAUGUCCACAGAACUUGCAGAAGUCUCAAGGCAGAAAACUCCUGAACUCAGUGUGAGUUGGAACCCAGGUCCUAGCAUCUUGCUUCAUAUCACCGCAGUGCCAUCAUUGCCUGUCUUCUGAGACAUGGAUUUUCACUCUGUCCAUGCUGGUUGACACCAGCAAAUCAUUCCAGGCAGGAGUCCUAGGCUGUUUUUUGAACACCACACCAACCAGCCGCUUGCAGCAUCUUGACAGCACUACCACCCUGCAAUAAACUUACAGAAUUUGGUUUUUCAGUGAAGGUUGGCUGUAAGGGAAGAGGGGGAGAGGAAAGCACAAGAAAAAACCCAAACUUCCCUUCCAAGCACCAUCCCAGCCAUAUGCAUGGACUUGCACAGCUGUUCCCAAGCGCGGUAUCAGAGCACCGCACGUAAGGAGCACUUCUGCAGGACCACACAAGUUUGCUGCUAUUCUUAAGCCGAGCCUCGCAAUUGGGAAACUCCUGCCAAGUUGUUUGAGACAGUGGCACCUGGGAAGUAUUAUAUGAGUCUGUAUUGCAUCAUGAGAACCCUAUUUGCACUUAAUUACACAACUCCCUCUCUCCUCCCAGUAGAACGAGCGGGACAGAUGCUACAUCUACAAAGUGAGAAUCAAACACAUUUUUUAAGUGGAGUCUGACAGCCUGAAGCCUAAAGGCAGGCUUCAGACCAGAUCCCAGCAGUGAAGAUCCUCACAGUACUGAAUGGCUCAGGCCAAUGAGAUUUUGUGCAUGGAUCCUACAUACCUUACUAUGGACCUGUCUCAUGCUCCUGCCUCCUUAUGCAGAAAUGUAGUUGAGAUUUUGACUACCAUCCUCUUCCUUGGUCUUUCUCUGUGAGCCUUUUGCAGCCAGAAGCCUGGAUAUUAUCUUCACAAGGCUCCUGCCACAUCUUUUCUAUGGUGCUGGUCACAGUAUGUUAAGAAGCCUUGCAAGGCUUCUUUAUCCAAACCUGUGGAUUGCACUGGUGUCUCUGGAUUUGAGUCAGGUUAACAGACAUCAGUUGGGCUAACCAAUGAAGAUUCUCUGACAAGGGUGAGCAAUGGAGAGGCAGGAAAACCCCAAACUGGCUUUGUUAAGCCAAGAUAAAUAAUAGCAGCACCACCACAUCAUGUUUGACAGGAGCAGAUCCUCUCAAAACAGGCAGCUGGCAGGUGGGCGCAGAUCCACCACUGGCUAACACCUGCCUGAAGUGGCAGACUCUAUUGCUGUUCUGCAGGCCAUCGCAGACUGUAUGGCAACAAAUGUGCAAACUGCUCUUUUUAAAGCAACUCUUUGGAAGUUCGGAUCCUCAUGUGCAUUUCUAACCUAAGCUCAUUACUUAAGCCCUUGCAAUUGUAUGUAACCGGAGGCAUUGCCCUUUUAUUCUCCCUUCAUAAAUCAAAUCUCCCAUCUUUUGCCAUAUAAUCCAAGACUGGAAAUACCUUUUCUGUUUAUGUCACACCACGGUAAUGCAGUCACUGAUCUGCCACAGGCUUCAGCUGCUGUAAAUUCUUUUCCUACUGCCCUUUCCCCACCAGCUUUCUCACAGUGCUUUAUGGCUCACAGGUCUGGGCAUUGAUUCAGUAGUUUCUUUAAGGAGGGCCCAGAAGGAAUGAUGGAAAAGUAUGUUUAUCAGAUGUGAUACAGUUGAAUGAAUACAGUAAAUGCUGUCCUACACAAACAAAAAUACAGAUCCAGCAAGGAAAGUUUUAAUGUGCCCAGCUCAAAAAUUUUGCAGAUAAUGAUUAAUGCUGUGGAUGAGAAGAGUGGUUCUCACAACCUUUGUGUUGACUGUUAAUCUGCAUGGAAACCACUUGCACAAAGUUUAAGUCAGUGCAGAUCACCAACUAUUUCUGUGCAUCUCCUCUUAUGAUGACUUUCACAAUAAAAUGGGAGAUCUUCCAUGGUUUCACUUUAAUACUUUUCUGAUUCAAUUUGUCAAUUAUUUAGGCAUCGUCUACAUUUUAAAACAGCAAAAAGAAAUAUAUAGGUUAGCAAAGGUUUGCUGUGUUCUCUUCCAGAUUUCCAGCAUCUCAGAUGGUUGGUAAAUUCACUCUACGGAUAAAUCAUCAAGGCUUUUUCACACACUCUUUCAUUUUAGCAUACAUUAAAUGAGAAAAUAUUAGGGCACACACAAAAAAAUAGUUCAGCUUUCACGUUUCCUUCAGCGUGUGGUGUAAGCAUGUUCUUCUGACUACAUACCAGGGCUAGCUGG